rnacentral:lncRNA from 1 species
AGGUCCCCUUCCUGGGGAGUUCGCGCUCCAAUGCAAUCCCCACUCCCCGCUAAGGGACUCCACGGUCUGCACCCGCUCGCCGGUCCGACCUCUAAGCCCACCCUUUGGACGAGCCUGACCCAUUUCCUCCCGCGCUCCCAGGCCAGCAGCCGGAUGCCCGGGCCCACUGGGCGGGCCAGUGGCCGCCUGCGGGAUGAGCAGACUGCUGGGGGGGACGCUGGAGCGCGUCUGCAAGGCUGUGCUCCUUCUCUGCCUGCUGCACUUCCUCGUGGCCGUCAUCCUCUACUUUGACGUCUACGCCCAGCACCUGGCCUUCUUCAGCCGCUUCAGUGCCCGAGGCCCUGCCCAUGCCCUCCACCC